UACGUAUGGGGCGAGCGUUGUCCGGAGUUACUGGGCGUAAAGCGCGCGCAGGCGGUUCCUUAAGUCUGAUGUGAAAGCCCACGGCUCAACCGUGGAGGGUCAUUGGAAACUGGGGAACUUGAGUGCAGGAGAGAAGAGUGGAAUUCCACGUGUAGCGGUGAAAUGCGUAGAGAUGUGGAGGAACACCGAUGGCGAAGGCAGCCCCCUGGGCUGAGAUUGACGCUCAGGCACGAAAGCGUGGGGAGCAAACAGG
rnacentral:rRNA from 1 species